rnacentral:rRNA from 1 species
AAGGUGAUGUAUAGGGGGUGAAGCCUGCCCAGUGCCCGAAGGUUAAGUGGAUGCGUUAGCUUAUGCGAAGCGUUGAAAUGAAGCCCGGGUGAACGGCGGCCGUAACUAUAACGGUCCUAAGGUAGCGAAAUUCCUUGUCGGCUAAAUACUGACCUGCACGAAAGGCGCAAUGAUCUCUCAACUGUCUCAACAUUGGACUCGGUGAAAUUAUGGUCCCAGUGAAAACGCUGGGUACCCGCAUCAAGACGAAAAGACCCCAUGGAGCUUUACUACAACUUCGUAUUGGAACUUGGCCUAACAUGUGUAGGAUAGGUGGGAGACGUUGAUGCUAAGACGCUAGUCUUAGAGUAGUCGACCUUGAAAUACCACCCUUGGUAUGUUGAGUUUCUAACCUGUCGCCGUUAUCCGGCGAGGAGACAGUGCGUGGUGGGUAGUUUGACUGGGGCGGUCGCCUCCUAAAAAGUAACGGAGGCGUUCAAAGGUACACUCAAUACAGUCAGAAACUGUAUGUAGAGCGCAAAGGUAGAAGUGUGCUUAACUGCGAGACCUACAAGUCGAGCAGGUGCGAAAGCAGGACUUAGUGAUCCGGCUGUACGUCAUGGAACGGCAGUCGCUCAACGGAUAAAAGUUACCCUGGGGAUAACAGGCUUAUCUUGCCCAAGAGAUCACAUCGACGGCAAGGUUUGGCACCUCGAUGUCGGCUCAUCGCAUCCUGGAGCUGGAGUCGGUUCCAAGGGUUUGGCUGUUCGCCAAUUAAAGCGGUACGCGAGCUGGGUUCAGAACGUCGUGAGACAGUUCGGUCCCUAUCUGAUGUGGGCGUUGGAAUAUUGAUGAGAGCUGCUCUUAGUACGAGAGGACCGGAGUGGACGUACCGCUGGUGUUCCAGUUGUUCCGCCAGGAGCAUAGCUGGGUAGCUAAGUACGGAAAGGAUAACCGCUGAAAGCAUCUAAGUGGGAAGCCUCCUCAGAGAUAAGUAUUCCCUUGAAAUUCCUUGUAGACUACGAGGUUGAUAGGAUGGAUGUGUAAGUGUAGUAAUACAUUUAGCUGACCAUUACUAAUAAAUUGAUAGGUUUAGAAGU